GAUAGCCCCCAUCGCUUUCAAAAUCUUAAUUACUUUUUAUCAUUUUUGAGGCUCUCCUUUUGAUUACCUGCACUGUCUCUAGAAGCUUUCUGCCAGACUUUUAAUAUGCCCUGUUCCCCCAUUUCUCCUGUUUCCGCUCUUAUCUGCGAAAAUUUCCUUCAAAUGCUUCUUGGUGCUUCAUUUUCUCAACUGUUCCCCAUGUCCGUCAGUUCUCUCGUCUCCUUCCGACACUGUCAAACUCCUCACAUCUUCCUCCAGUGCUAACAUGGCCUACCUCGGUAGUCGAUGUCCCAGGUUAGUAUUCCUACUCUCAACCGCUCCUCUUACAAGUUCAUUAGCAACCCCAUUACCAAAUUUAGAUAUUUUUUGAAAGCGGCACUCUUCAAAUCCUUUGCUUAAUAGUUGUUUAUCCUGUAUGUACGAACGUAGUACUGAUCGAUCCUCUUUUAAUGCCUUCACUCAUCGAAUAACACUGAGUGCAUCUCCUUCGAUGACUACCCGUCGGAGUCCCAUUUCUAACCCCGCCUGAACUGGCUGUAGACAGGCUAUUGCCUCUUUUCGAAAGGGUACUUGAGAGUAAUAUGAGUGAAAAGCAGUGGAAAUUAGAAUAUUGGAGCAUUCCAAAAGCUGUCCACAUGCAGCAGAUUUUCAUAUAGGCAAUCCACAUGACUGUGUGUUCGGGGUGCGUCGAUCUUGAGAACUGUGUGCACUAACAACUAAAAGUUACAAUUUUAAAGAUUUUUAGUGUUUUAAGAGGAUGUAAAUAGGGAAAUAAAAGGAAAUAAAGGCAGCCACCAAGGGAAAGCAAGAAAAUUACCUUGAGAACACCAUUGAAGUCAAUCUUCAAGCAAUUUUCCACAAAGAUUUAAGAGUCCAAGUUGAUUUUCAAGGGAGUUAUCAUGGAUUUCUUUUAUUUUAGUGGUUAUAUAGUAUUAUUGGUUACUCUUGCUAUUAUUAAUUAAUUCUCUUAAUACCAAGAGAGAUGAACCCCGGGAUAGAUUCUAUUGUUUGAUUUCUAUUUUUAUGCAAUAAAAUCUUAGUUUCUUUGUUUUCAA